rnacentral:rRNA from 1 species
ACUCCUACGGGAGGCAGCAGUGGGAAUAUUGGACAAUGGGGGAAACCCUGAUCCAGCAAUGCCAUGUGUGUGAAGAAGGCUCUAGGGUUGUAAAGCACUUUAGUUGGGGAGGAAAGCCUAUAAGUUAAUAGCUUGUAGGAAGGACGUUACCCAAAGAAUAAGCACCGGCUAACUCCGUGCCAGCAGCCGCGGUAAUACGGAGGGUGCGAGCGUUAAUCGGAAUUACUGGGCGUAAAGCGCAUGCAGGUGGUUUGUUAAGUCAGAUGUGAAAGCCCGGGGCUCAACCUCGGAAUUGCAUUUGAAACUGGCAGACUAGAGUACUGUAGAGGGGGGUGAGAAUUAUCAGGUGUAGCGGUGAAAUGCGUAGAGAUCUGAAGGAAUACCGGUGGCGAAGGCGGCCCCCUGGACAGAUACUGACACUCAGAUGCGAAAGCGUGGGAGCAAACAGGAUUAGAUACCCUGGUAGACAUCA